GUGUUUGCUUUGGCAGUACAUAUACUAAAAGUGGAACAGUGCAGAGAAGAUUAGCAUGGCCUCUGUGCAAGGAUGACAUGCAAAUUCAUGAAAUGUUCCAUAUUUUA